rnacentral:piRNA from 1 species
UGAAUUAAAGGAGCCUUUUGACCCAAUCAU